UUCCUAGUAUGGCAUGACGGGUUUUUUGGCCAGGAGUUGCCCGGCUAACCUUGGAGCUGGAGUGUGUAGCUGCACAGACCAUGAUAAUGCAUCAGCCAGGAGCCGCUCCACAUUUUCGUUGGCUUGUUUGGACUUGGGGCAGAUACGAGGUAUACUGCGUCAUCAGCGUACGUUGCUAGCAUUUGGGUUGAGUUUGCGUGUCUUGGUGGCUGCGGCAUGUCGGCAGUGUAAAGGUUGUAGAGUACUGGGGCCAAGUACGCUUCCUUGCGGCACUCCAGCGGUUAUGUGCUUUAGGCUUGAGGUGAUGUUGUUGCAGCAGACGACUUUGAAGCUUCUGUCUGAGAGAUAGCUGAGAAGACCCUGAUGCCAGACUCUAUCAAAGGCCUCCUGGAUAUCCAUGUACACAGCACUGCAAUGCCGCUGCGCUUCGUAGGAUCUGAGGAUGAAUUGCGUGACUCGUCCGAUUUGCUGUUCCGCUGAGUGCUGACUUCUGAAGCCAAAUUGAUGGUUUGGAAUAGCCAUGGCAAAGCUUUCUUCUUCAAAAAGUCGUUUGAGGAUGAGGCGUUCAAGGAUUUUGGAGAAGCCUGACUUUGGGAAGUGGCCGAACUGCAGAGCCGAGUUGCAUAUCAACAGCAGAUACUCGAUGGCGGAUGUUGGCAGAGAUUUAAUGACGCGAUUGUCGAUACUGUCGAAACCGGGUGCCUUUUUCGUCUUGAGCUUCUUAAUUUCCGAUUUGAGUUCCUGGAUGGUCACAG